CAGGUACUCCCUCCGUCCUAAAAUUCUUGUCUUAGAUAUGUCUAGAUACGGAUGUAUCUAAUACUAAAAUGUGACUUGAUACAUCCGUAUUUAGACAAAUCUAAGACAAGAAUUUUAGGAUGGAGAGGGUAGUAA
rnacentral:pre_miRNA from 1 species